rnacentral:rRNA from 1 species
UGCCAGCAGCCGCGGUAAUACGAAGGGUGCUAGCGUUGUUCGGAAUUACUGGGCGCGCAGGCGGAUUUGUCAGUCAGGGGUGAAAUCCUACAGCUUAACUGUAGAACUGCCUUUGAUACUGCAAAUCUUGAGUUCGGAAGGGAGAGGCGGAAUUCCAGGUGUAGUGGUGAAAUACGUAGAUAUCUGGAAGAACACCAGAGGCGAAGGCGGUCUCUUGGUCCGAAACUGACGCUGAGGCGCGAAAGCGUGGGGAGCAAACAGGAUUAGAUA